UGCAGUCGAGCGGACAGAAGGGAGCUUGCUCCCGGAUGUUAGCGGCGGACGGGUGAGUAACACGUGGGUAACCUGCCUGUAAGACUGGGAUAACUCCGGGAAACCGGAGCUAAUACCGGAUAGUUCCUUGAACCGCAUGGUUCAAGGAUGAAAGACGGUUUCGGCUGUCACUUACAGAUGGACCCGCGGCGCAUUAGCUAGUUGGUGAGGUAACGGCUCACCAAGGCGACGAUGCGUAGCCGACCUGAGAGGGUGAUCGGCCACACUGGGACUGAGACACGGCCCAGACUCCUACGGGAGGCAGCAGUAGGGAAUCUUCCGCAAUGGACGAAAGUCUGACGGAGCAACGCCGCGUGAGUGAUGAAGGUUUUCGGAUCGUAAAGCUCUGUUGUUAGGGAAGAACAAGUGCAAGAGUAACUGCUUGCACCUUGACGGUACCUAACCAGAAAGCCACGGCUAACUACGUGCCAGCAGCCGCGGUAAUACGUAGGUGGCAAGCGUUGUCCGGAAUUAUUGGGCGUAAAGGGCUCGCAGGCGGUUUCUUAAGUCUGAUGUGAAAGCCCCCGGCUCAACCGGGGAGGGUCAUUGGAAACUGGGAAACUUGAGUGCAGAAGAGGAGAGUGGAAUUCCACGUGUAGCGGUGAAAUGCGUAGAGAUGUGGAGGAACACCAGUGGCGAAGGCGACUCUCUGGUCUGUAACUGACGCUGAGGAGCGAAAGCGUGGGGAGCGAACAGGAUUAGAUACCCUGGUAGUCCACGCCGUAAACGAUGAGUGCUAAGUGUUAGGGGGUUUCCGCCCCUUAGUGCUGCAGCUAACGCAUUAAGCACUCCGCCUGGGGAGUACGGUCGCAAGACUGAAACUCAAAGGAAUUGACGGGGGCCCGCACAAGCGGUGGAGCAUGUGGUUUAAUUCGAAGCAACGCGAAGAACCUUACCAGGUCUUGACAUCCUCUGACAACCCUAGAGAUAGGGCUUUCCCUUCGGGGACAGAGUGACAGGUGGUGCAUGGUUGUCGUCAGCUCGUGUCGUGAGAUGUUGGGUUAAGUCCCGCAACGAGCGCAACCCUUGAUCUUAGUUGCCAGCAUUCAGUUGGGCACUCUAAGGUGACUGCCGGUGACAAACCGGAGGAAG
rnacentral:rRNA from 1 species